rnacentral:rRNA from 1 species
AUUGAACGCUGGCGGCAGGCUUAACACAUGCAAGUCGAGCGGAGAUGAGGUGCUUGCACCUUAUCUUAGCGGCGGACGGGUGAGUAAUGCUUAGGAAUCUGCCUAUUAGUGGGGGACAACAUUCCGAAAGGAAUGCUAAUACCGCAUACGUCCUACGGGAGAAAGCAGGGGAUCUUCGGACCUUGCGCUAAUAGAUGAGCCUAAGUCGGAUUAGCUAGUUGGUGGGGUAAAGGCCUACCAAGGCGACGAUCUGUAGCGGGUCUGAGAGGAUGAUCCGCCACACUGGGGCUGAAACACGGCCCAGACUCCUACGGGAGGCAGCAGUGGGGAAUAUUGGACAAUGGGGGAAACCCUGAUCCAGCCAUGCCGCGUGUGUGAAGAAGGCCUUAUGGUUGUAAAGCACUUUAAGCGAGGAGGAGGCUACUGAGACUAAUACUCUUGGAUAGUGGACGUUACUCGCAGAAUAAGCACCGGCUAACUCUGUGCCAGCCGCCGCCGUAA